CUCUCGUUUUCCUACUGUUAAGCCUACUGCGAUCAGUUCUGUAAACUGUGUAUGCAUUCCCAAAUAGCUGAGUUGAUAAUAUAACGUUAUCGAGCCAAGUUUCUGUUAACACUAUGAUGUCAUAAUCAACCUCCACGACUGCUAAGAAGAACGUAUCGAUUUUCGAACGAAGCCCUCUGGUAUUUUGAUAAUAAACUCGUAGUUGUAGUGGUCCACAGCUAGAUUCAGCGUUCGUCAAUCUAUGAUGCUCGGCAGACACCAUAUGUGCAGAACAAGAAGCACGUUCAUCAUCCUGGCAAUGAUGCCCAUGGUCAGCUGGAGUCAAUGAACUAGGAGCGGGAAACGUUACAGGAAGCGCACUGUUCAAAUGCAGGUUGUACUUGCCUGAUAAUCGGUGUCGGAAGACCUCAUCUCCAGUCUCAAACACAGGACCGGGACGACUGCUGGUCGCUGGCUGGAAUGGCACGACUGUGUUGAGCGGAUUAGAGGCUUCCUUAGAGCUUGAGGCAAGUGUGCGUCCCGGUGGUUGGCUACGGAGUGGUGAGGGCCGUGAUGAACUGCAAACGUGGCAACUGGAAUCAGCGAGGCGACUGGAAGCGGGAGGUUUUUCAGGUAGCGAACUGUUCAAAAUUGAAGCAUACUUGCCUGGAAACGGGUUCCGGAAGACCUCAUCUCCUAUCUCAAACACAGGACCGGGACGACUGCUGGUCGCUGGCUGGAAUGGCAGGACUGUGUUGAGCGGAUGAGAGGCUUCCUUAGAGCUUGAGGCAAGUGUGCGUCCCGGUGGUUGGCUACGGAGUGGUGAGGACCGUGAUGAAUUGCGAACGAGGCGACUGGAGUAAGCGUGGCGACUGGAAGCGGGAGGUAUUUCAGGUAGCGAACUGUUAUUAAUGGAAUCAUACUUGCCUGAGAACGGAAUUCGGAAGACCCCAUCUCCUAUCUCAAACACAGGACCGGGACGACUGUUGGUCGCUGGCUGGGGUGGCACGACUGUGUUGAGCGGAUUAGAGGCUUCCUUGGGGCUUGAGGCAAGUUAGGUUGAAUGUUGUUUAUUCCAACGUUGCGUUUUCCGCUUCCAUCCGACUGCUCAUCGGAUCGUUGGUUUCCGGGGGAGG